CCUUCAUUCACCAUUUUGGAUGUAGCCUUCGUCACGAAUCAUCUUCUGACGUAUUGUCCGGUCUUUUGCAACUUAAAUACGCCUUCUUUUCUUGAAAUAGGGUACAGUAAUUGCAUGGCCCAUUAUGAGUCUGCCGUCUGACCUAUACACAUGUAUUGGAACAACUAAUUACAUGGAGGUUUUUGAGUCAAGGGACUUGAGUUGUCAGCAAUUGGUUGAAAAGAACAUCAAUGAAAUCCUGGGUUGCUCACUGUUUAUGGAACAUACUUGUCUAAUCAGGCCAAAAGUACAACAAAUCUAUCCACAUCGAACAUGGAACUGAUUAAAGUAUUGUACAUGGAAAUGUUUGAAGAUGGAAUGGGUUCGAUGUAUGUUGGAGUAAUGUUCCAGAAAGCAGCAUUCCAGGGGCAAGAAUAUAAGUUGAAAGGCUGAUCAACACAUGUAUUGUUCAACGUGUUUUCUUUGCACCUUGUUAGAUGGAAUUUGUGGAAGUUACCGAAAUGUCAGGACGGAGUAAUACGCAAAAUUUGGAGUCGAAAAGUGUUUUUAAGUGGUGAAUACUUAGAACGUCUGUUUCCACUUCCAGAAGUUUUAAGGCUUGGAACAUUACAAAGGCUGUGGAUGGUGGAAUUUGCAUUGCAAGUCAAAAUCUUGUGUUGUUGCCUGUCGACCAUUAAGUAACGGUUCGAGCUAGUGUGACUUAAAAAUGAUUGCUUCUUAGAUACUAAAAAUAAAUACACAAAGAUAUAAUUGGAA